rnacentral:rRNA from 1 species
UACGGGGGGAGCAAGCGUUGUUCGGAUUUACUGGGCGUAAAGGGCGCGUAGGCGGCGCAACAAGUCACUUGUGAAAUCUCCGGGCUUAACCCGGAGCGGCCAAGUGAUACUGUCGUGCUAGAGUGCGGAAGGGGCUACUGGAAUUCUCGGUGUAGCGGUGAAAUGCGUAGAUAUACGGAGGAACACCAGCGGCGAAGGCGGGUAGCUGGGCCAACACUGACGCUGAUGCGCGAAAGCUAGGGUAGCAAACGGG